ACUCAAAGGAGACUGCCAGUGAUAAACUGGAGGAAGGUGGGGAUGACGUCAAGUCAUCAUGGCCCUUACGACCAGGGCUACACACGUGCUACAAUGGCGCAUACAAAGAGAAGCGACCUCGCGAGAGCAAGCGGACCUCAUAAAGUGCGUCGUAGUCCGGAUUGGAGUCUGCAACUCGACUCCAUGAAGUCGGAAUCGCUAGUAAUCGUGGAUCAGAAUGCCACGGUGAAUACGUUCCCGGGCCUUGUACACACC
rnacentral:rRNA from 1 species